rnacentral:tRNA from 1 species
GGCCUCGCAGCUCAGCUGGUAGAGUAUGCGCGUGCAAAGUGUAGGCGGCGUUCAUGCGUUGGUUCGAAUCCCACCGAGGCUA